GUACUUACUGAGCUUGUAGGACCAUGGAGAUACAUUGGAGACUUGGUUUGCAGGAAGAAAUAUUAUAUCUCAAGAUGCAACCAAAUGCAAAUCAACAUUGGAGAAACAUCCACUUCAAUGGCAUCUCAUUAAUAAGAGUAAACUGUCUCAUCCUUGUUACUUUCAGUUCUUUGUGAACAAAAGUGUGUCACAAUUCUUGUAGUUGUAAAACACUUGAAAGUAACUUUGUUUCAAUCCCUAGCUAUCCAUUACUUUGUGCCAUAUGAUGCUUUUAACGUCUCUCUAGUAGAGAAUUUAUCUUACGAUGAAAUGCAGAAAAACAAAGAAAUCAUCAUUUGUUUUCAACAAGGCAAAACUUCUGAAGCAAUGUUUGAUUGGAGAUGAUAUUUGUACUAGUCGGAACUUCCUACAAACGGUUGGAACUUCCGAACAUCACUGGAAGUUUCAUCUCUCCUCCGAUCAAGGGUUCUCGGGAAUCAGGAUUAUUUUUGUCGGAAUUUCCGACAUGGUGUCGGAACUUCCGAUAAACAUCGGAAGUUUCGUGUUACUUCCGACCGAGGGCUCUCGGGAAACCGUCUCUGGACAGACCGGUCUGGCCCAGAGCAGUUUACCUGAGCAUUCUGAAGUGAGAAAUGAUGCUGUGGAUUAUUAUUUGAAGAACUCUCUCACUUAAGGCACAAGUUUGGGUACAUAAAAGUGACAGACAGACCGGUGGGCAAGAGAAGGCGCGUGGCAAGACCGUCUCGAAAGGCUCGACAGCUAAUGGGCGGUUACGGAGGAUGUGCUACAGCUUUUCAUUGUUUGCACCUUCGUUUCGGGGGAUUGAUGGUGGAGGAUUGCAGCUUGUGUGCACGGUUUGGCGAACAGAUGGGGAUCGAUGGCCGGGUCGGAGGUGGAAGAUCUACAGUAGCAGUAGGGACUUGGUUAUAAUUUUCUUAUUCCUCGGGGUCCUUUCUGCAAAAGUUGGGUGUAAUGAUCCUUUUAAUAUAUAAGUGCAUCCUCUUCGCAAAAAAAUGUAAAUGGCGUUAUCUUUAUUUAUUUAUUUUGCUCGCAAAAGUGUAAAGAUGGACCACUGAACGUAACCAUGGUCCAUGUGAGUAUGUGAUGAGUACACCUGCAAGUUGCAAGGUGGAAAUUGUAUAUAUGAUCUUAAUAGUAUAUUGUAA